rnacentral:rRNA from 1 species
AACGAACGCUGGCGGCAGGCCUAACACAUGCAAGUCGAGCGCCCCGCAAGGGGAGCGGCGGACGGGUGAGUAACGCGUGGGAACGUACCUUUUGCUUCGGAAUAGCCUCGGGAAACUGGGAGUAAUACCGAAUGUGCCCUACGGGGGAAAGAUUUAUCGGCAAAAGAUCGGCCCGCGUUGGAUUAGGUAGUUGGUGGGGUACUGGCCUACCAAGCCGACGAUCCAUAGCUGGUUUGAGAGGAUGAUCAGCCACACUGGGACUGAGACACGGCCCAGACGCCUACGGGAGGCAGCAGUGGGGAAUCUUAGACAAUGGGCGCAAGCCUGAUCUAGCCAUGCCGCGUGAGCGAUGAAGGCCUUAGGGUUGUAAAGCUCUUUCGAGGGGGAAGAUAAUGACUGUACCCCAAGAAGAAGCCCCGGCUAACUCCGUGCCAGCAGCCGCCGUAAUAC